UGGCGAACGGGUGAGUAAUACAUCGGAACGUGUCCUGUAGUGGGGGAUAGCCCGGCGAAAGCCGGAUUAAUACCGCAUACGACCUAAGGGAGAAAGCGGGGGAUCUUCGGACCUCGCGCUAUAGGGGCGGCCGAUGGCAGAUUAGCUAGUUGGUGGGGUAAAGGCCUACCAAGGCGACGAUCUGUAGCUGGUCUGAGAGGACGACCAGCCACACUGGGACUGAGACACGGCCCAGACUCCUACGGGAGGCAGCAGUGGGGAAUUUUGGACAAUGGGGGCAACCCUGAUCCAGCAAUGCCGCGUGUGUGAAGAAGGCCUUCGGGUUGUAAAGCACUUUUGUCCGGAAAGAAAACCUCGUGGCUAAUAUCCGUGAGGGAUGACGGUACCGGAAGAAUAAGCACCGGCUAACUACGUGCCAGCAGCCGCGGUAAUACGUAGGGUGCGAGCGUUAAUCGGAAUUACUGGGCGUAAAGCGUGCGCAGGCGGUCUGUUAAGACCGAUGUGAAAUCCCCGGGCUUAACCUGGGAACUGCAUUGGUGACUGGCAAGCUUUGAGUGUGGCAGAGGGGGGUAGAAUUCCACGUGUAGCAGUGAAAUGCGUAGAGAUGUGGAGGAAUACCGAUGGCGAAGGCAGCCCCCUGGGCCAACACUGACGCUCUCAUGCACGAAAGCGUGGGGAGCAAACAGGAUUAGAUACCCUGGUAGUCCACGCCCUAAACGAUGUCAACUAGUUGUUGGGGAUUCGUUUCCUUAGUAACGUAGCUAACGCGUGAAGUUGACCGCCUGGGGAGUACGGUCGCAAGAUUAAAACUCAAAGGAAUUGACGGGGACCCGCACAAGCGGUGGAUGAUGUGGAUUAAUUCGAUGCAACGCGAAAAACCUUACCUACCCUUGACAUGGUCGGAACCCUGCUGAAAGGUGGGGGUGCUCGAAAGAGAACCGGCGCACAGGUGCUGCAUGGCUGUCGCCAGCUCGUGUCGUGAGAUGUUGGGUUAAGUCCCGCAACGAGCGCAACCCUUGUCCUUAGUUGCUACGCAAGAGCACUCUAGGGAGACUGCCGGUGACAAACCGGAGGAAGGUGGGGAUGACGUCAAGUCCUCAUGGCCCUUAUGGGUAGGGCUUCACA
rnacentral:rRNA from 1 species